UACGUAGGUGGCAAGCGUUGUCCGGAUUUAUUGGGCGUAAAGGGAGCGCAGGUGGUUUCUUAAGUCUGAUGUGAAAGCCCACGGCUUAACCGUGGAGGGUCAUUGGAAACUGGGGAACUUGAGUGCAGAAGAGGAAAGUGGAAUUCCAAGUGUAGCGGUGGAAUGCGUAGAUAUUUGGAGGAACACCAGUGGCGAAGGCGACUUUCUGGUCUGUAACUGACACUGAGGCUCGAAAGCGUGGGGAGCGAACAGGAUUAGAUACCCGGGUAGGUCCCUGAG
rnacentral:rRNA from 1 species